rnacentral:snRNA from 1 species
AUCCAUUCUGGCCUUUGGCUUAGAUCAAGUGUAGUAUCUGUUCUUAUCAGUGUAAUUACUGGUAUUGGUUCAUUGAAUCAAUCAACUAAUUACUCUCAUCUUUGAGAUGCCCUCAAUCAACACCCAGCUUGCUGGACUGGUUGGGAUGAUGGCCUUGGGCUCACACUACCCCUUGUGCUGUCAGGCAAU